GAUCAUGGCAGGGUUAUGCAGGGCACUCUUUCCUCUUUGGCCUUCUAAGCAGACUGGGGAGAAGGGAUUCUCUGGUUUUCUCUUUUCGCCCAUUUAUUAGGACUUGCCUUCUCCCUGGACAGGGAGAGAGGCUAGGUUGGUGCUCUCCCCUUACUCUACUCCUACUGACUUAGAACCUCUGGCUGCUGUUUGGGAGCCCAAGAAAGGUAGUGGAGGUUAUGGGCUCAAAACAAAAGAAAACAAAGCAAAAAAACAAUAAGGUGGGGAAGGCAGAUUUCCUUCUUUAAAAAGGAAAAUAGGAAACCCUCCAAGGAUUGUGCAAGUAAAGACAAUAUGUCGAAUGCACUGACCCCCCUGGUGUAGUAGCAAUAAGGAAAAAUGAAAUGACUUUCCUGUGCACACAGUCCAACCUGAUUGGUGUGUGAUGUUGCACUUAGCAGCCAUCUGGUGGGCAUGUGUGUCUACUCUGGGUUUCACUUUAGUUUCUAAACUUUUUAUCCCUCUCAAGUCCAGCAUGGUUGGGGAAAUGUCCCUGGAGCCCCACAGCUGUGUACUUGUUUGCAUUUGUUUCCCUUUGAGACUUGUGUUUGUGUCCUGCUUUGAGCUGUACCUUGUCCAGUCCAUUGUAAAAUUAUCCCAGCAGCUGUAAUAUACAGUUUCUUCUGAAGCAAGCAACAGCAGCAGCACAAUUCUGUGUUUUAUAAAGACAACAGUGGCUUCUAUUUCUAAAGUGCGGACUCUCUCUCUUUUUUUUUCCUUAGCAAAGCAAACUGUUGGGAUUAAUUAUAAUCUCUGAUAGAUUUUACGUUAGAAUAACAGAUUGUUAGAAGAGCAGAACCAUCACUUUCUAAAGGAGUAAAGUGGGUAAAACAAAUUCCGGAGUGUUGAAACUGCAGAUUGUAUGUAAUCACAGGUCCUCCAUUUAUUCUUCAUUCAACAAACAUGCAAAGCACUGUGUCUAGAAGUAUUAUGAGGGGAGUAAGCAGGCACAAUUCAAAAAUGAGGAAAACAGUGUUUCUCUCUUUAAGGAGUUUAAAAAGUUUGGUGGUGGAUAUCAGUAGCCAGAUGGUUCUCUGGUACCAUUUAGAGAGAUUAUGAGGACUGGAACAAGGCUCUAGGGCUGUAUCAAUGAAGAUAGAAAGGAAAGCGCAAAUUGGAGAGACACUUGGGGAGAUAGAAUUAAUAGGACUCCAUGGAUGAUGGAACAGGAAGAGAGGAGUAGAGGCUAAUAAUGUUCACUCUUCUUGAGCAAGUGAGUAUAUUGGGACAUUCCUCUAGCCAAGACUGGGGGGAAAGGGAGACUAUAGAAGGAAGGUGGUACAUUUUGUGAAGAAAGACAAUUAGCCUUGUUUAGACUGAGUUUUGAGGUUCCCAUGGGGUAACAAGGUUAAGGUUUCCAGUAAACAUUUAUGUUUUGGUGCUCAGGGAAGACUGCAAAACUGUAGUUAUAGAUAUGGAAUUCAUAAUCAUAUAGAUGGUAGGUAAAACCAUAGGAAUGAACAAGAUGGCUUAGAGAAAGAGUAGAGCAAGAGAAACCUAGUGUACGAAUGUAGGAAACAAGAGAUGAGGAGAGGAAGUAGAACCUAAGAUGACAGAUCACACAUAGAUACCUUGUAUGUUUUUGACUGCUUUAAUGAGAUGGGAGAAUAGUCAAGAGUGGAAUAGGAUUUAAGAAAGACAAGAUUAACAACAUGAAAACUGCUGCAGUGAAGGGGGAGGGUUAUUUUUUUCUACUUAGUUUGCUGUCUUCCACACCAUCUUCUCUGGGAUCUCGUAAGUAUAUGGUCAUUCUCCAGUAUUUUUUGAAAAUGAGCAUUGGAAAACCUAACUUAAACCAGGCCAAGACUGGGACUUCCAGGUUGUUCACCACAACCACCAGCACCAUUUCCACCUCCAGCUUCCUCCUAUCCUCAGGAGAUGCUUGUAAAAGAAUAAAAUAAACAAACCUAAUUUUGCUCCUAACUAGUGUCAUAGGUGGUGUUCCAGUGCACUCAGUAGCACUUAGCAACUUGCUCUAUUUACUCUCAUGACUUGUUUUCCCCAGAGCCUGUGAACUUCUAGGAGCAGAAGCUACAUUCUAUUCAUUUUCAUCAUCUCAGGGCCAUAGUGUGUAUUGUGGGGGUGUGUGUGUGUGUGUGUCAAUAUUUGUGAGUAGAAAUGAGCUAGAAAUCUGUGGUUCUUGAGUACAGAGGGGAGAAUCAAGAAGUGAUACUGAGUCUGCAGGAUGGGCUCAGUAUUCCUGAAUCUUCAGGUAAGCAGAAACAACCAGAUUAUCAUCACCUUUUCUUACUCUCACCCCAGCUUCAAGGUUCUAUGAUUUUGUGCCUUAAACUGUUGGUGCAGUUGUCAAGCAUGUAAGUUCAGCAUGCCUCCCUGGUACUCCUAGAUUAUUGUUAUUUCUGUGUAUUGGGGGAAGAUGGCACAGAGAAGGAUUCUGGCACAGGGCCCAGUGAGAAAUUUCAGUGGCAGUUAGUAUGUACAAGAGUGGGCCUAGCAUUUCUCUGGAGGCCAAGUGUUCAAAUUGCUAACCUUUGGCUACCCCUGCCAGAUUUGCUUGGAAGCAAGCCAGCCAGACCCAUGCUCCUUUUCACCAGCAAGGAGUAGUGAGGUUGGUUGGACUUGAAGAGCAAACUGGAACAUGGAGGAGAUUUUUCCCAGUUGAAACAAGACAAAUUUAUGACCGUUAAUGAAGCAGAAAGUGUUUAGCAGAGCAAAUGGGAAGAUAAUCAUUAUACCACGUUUUGGUUAUAAAUUUCAUUGCCAUAAAUGAAUGAUGUUAAAAAGAUUUCAGCAUUUGGCUCUUGGUUGCUACUCAAGAGAAAAACAUGGUGGGAGCCCAAGGCCUGAUUUAUCUGGUCCUAGAGCUCAAGGUUUGAUUUAAGGCUUGUCCUAGCACCCCUGGAUAUCCCUUUUCAGGAUUGGUUGAGCAGCCUUCCCUCUGCCCUGUCAGUUGGCAUCAUAUACUGUAGCACAUUGUUGUCUGUCAAGUGCCUUUAGGGUAGAAUGAGGCUGUGUAUUUGUUGGGUAUCACUUGGCUUAAUAGACCCCAGAAUCACAUGGCAGUUAGGGUUUGGCGGCUAAAGGAAAGGGUUAUAGUGCAAAAAGAAGAAUAUUUUCAAGUUCUGAGCCUGGGCCAUCCUCAGACUACUGUCUGUACUGCUUGAAUGUAAAGAAGCAUCGAAUUGGGAAAUUAGCUCUCCAUUUUUCUUCCUAGUUUUCAAGAUAUUUAUUCCUUUGGCUGUAAGCUAAGGAAGCCUGGCAGGCUUAGAAAGUGCACAGAGCAUGACAGAAGCACUCUUUUAAAGCAGCAGUGUUGAGGAGCUGGAAAAGUGGACUUGCUGGAGGUGAGGUGCAUUUAGAAGCUCUCCAUUUAAGUACCACAACUACCUUCCCAGGAUACCGUAUCAAGAUUUUUUAGGCCACCGUGGCUUACCCUGCAGGAACACACUGUCCUCUUAUUCUAGACUGCAGCAGCUUCACCACUGUCCUCUUGGCAGUGUCUUUUUGGGACAAAGAAAUUUUGAGGAACUUUUCUGGGGACCUUCCCCACCUUCUGAAGGCAAGGAACUUGCCUUAUAAAAGAGGCAGUGGGAGCUCCUAGCCAGGUUUUUGGGUUGUUAAUGGAAGUGAACUGGAAAAGGAAUAGGGACUUCGGGUACUUUGAAGUACUUGGCUAGGUGUUUUGUACAGUAUCCAUUAUAAUUUGGUUGUAUCUUCACAGCAUUCGUGUGAAGUAGUUUAUCAGUUACCUUCAAUUGCAAUAGCAAAACCCAAGUAAAUUGGCUUAAAUAAGGAAACUAUCACAUGACAAGAAGUCCUGAUUUCAUAUGGCUCCAAGGUUGGAUAAUUCACUGGCUCAAUGAUAAUAUCAACAUAACAGAUUAUUGCAAUCUUUUUGCUCUGCUAUCCUUUGUGUUGUUUUAUCCUCAUACUAGUUCACCUCAGGAUCCCAAGAUGGCUGCUAUAAUUCCAGGAAGGAAAUGCUGACAGAACAAAGUCUAGCAGAAGAGGGACUAAUUUUUCCCAAUGUUUCAUUUUAAAGAAAGGGAAUCCCUGGAAGCCCCAGCAGAUCUGGCUUAAUGUCUCAUUUGCUAGAAAUGGGUCAUUUUCCCACUAUUCUGUCAUUGGCAAAGCAAAUGAGAUCAUCCAUCAUGAGUGGCUUAGAUUAAUUACAAGUUAUCCUAUGAGUCAUGUGGAUUAGAAAGACAAAUCAUGUUUGCUAGGUGAGAAGGGAUAAAAGGCUCUUGGGUAGGCAUCAAGCAGUGUCUGCUCUACCUAGCUACUCUGGGUUUUACAGAUGAGGAAUGUGAUGUUCAGAGAGAGUGACUUUCCAAGAAUCACAGAUAGUAGCAGAGGGCCUUCAGUGUCAGCUCUGACUGUCCCUAAAGCCAGUAUGUUUUAUAUUGUGUUCUGCUGCAGUACAAAGUAGCUUCCUUUCUGCCGUGUAAAAAUUGCUUGUCUCGGAGAAGAGAUUUCAAAGUGUCAAGUCGGCUAACUUCAGCCCAUGCAAGAGGAAAGGGUUCUAUCCAGUUGCUUUCCUCAUCCAGUGAUGUUUUUCUAGCACAGGAAGCUUGGAAUGCAACUUUCAGAGGGCACUGAUUUCUUUGCCCCCAAGAUUUCUGUACUAUUUUACAGUUCUCCCUUCUGAGAGCAACCAGUACCACAAGGGAUGAGGGCAGAGUUGCCAUUUUUGAAGCCCACUUAUUUAUUGGUCCAUCCACCUGCCCCACAGAUAUUUAUGGGAUGCUGCUAUGUACGAGGCACAGGCACUGUUCUAGGCACUGGGGCUAUGACAGUUAAGAUACACAAAGACCCUGCACCAUACCCUUAAAAGCAGACUCAUUUGGGAAUGAGGUUGUCCAAAACUAGGAUGUGCAUGUUGUCGGGAGAGCCUCAUACAGCUUGGCUUUGGGCAGAAUCAUUCAAACUUUUUUGCCUUCCUACUUCCUGAUAUUACAAUUCGUGAGCCUUUCAUAAUGGGCUCACAGGUGGGGUCCAUGGAUAGCAGAGGUAGAUGGGAAGGGAUCAUUGACAUUUAUUAAAUUGGGCUGAAUUAGAAGGUCCCAAUCCUGUUAAAUCCAUGUCAACAAAGCCAAGAAGCUUGCAGUCAUUUAGGGAACCAGUUGAGGGGGUUGACGGGUGAAAGACUCUAUUUACCCCUGUUGAAUGCUGCUAAGGACUUGGAUUGUGUAGAGUCAAAGAUUGAAAAUAACUUUUAAGAUAGUGUUUCAUCUAGUGACAUUUGAUAUUUUGAAAUUGGGGAGGGCAUUUUCAGUAUAAGGGGUAAGGAUGGGAAGGAAGAAGUGAGGCAGAAUUGGAGUCAGAUAUGGGUUUGAAUCCCAUCCAUUUAUUAAGUGUUUACUAUAGGUGCAUCUAAUAAGUGCUUUAAGAUGAUAACAAUAGUAAAUGCCCUCACUAACAUUUAGGGAGGAUUUUCUCGGUGCUUUAUGUACAUUCCCUAACUUCACAACAACUGUGAGGAAACUAAAGCCCAGAGGUUCAAGUGACUGAUCCAAGUCCCACAGUGACUGGGGGUGGGGGGGGAACUAAAGAUAGGAUUUUCCCUCCCUUUCCUCUUUGUCCCAAGCUUUAAAAAAAUAAUGUAUUUUGAUUGUUAAAAGUCUAAACAUUACUGAUACUCAGAGACAGGGAAAAAUCAUGAAUCAUUCCUCAACCUGAAUAAAAUAGUAUCACAUUUCUUUCAGGCAACAAAUACUAAUGUGCUGGUCUUAAUAACCUUAUAAAGCUUACAUUCUAGUGGAGGAGGGGGCACCCAAUAAACUAGUGAACAAAAAUUGCAGAUUGGGAGAGGAGUUAUUAAGGAGAUACUGUAAUAGUAUACAGGAGUACCUCACCAUAGAUCUGAGGUCCGGGAAAGGCAUCUGAAAUGUCUUGAGGUGUGAAGAGCGGUUGGGGGGCGGAGGGGAAGGGGUGAGUGUGAAGAGGAAGGAGAGGGCUCCUGGCCAAGGGAACCAGAAGCAGAGAGGCUCCAGGUCUAAUAGAAAAGCGCUUUCCCCGUUAGGGGAGGCCGACCAGUAUAGCUGUCGCAUGAUGAGGAAGAGUCUCGCUUGAGGGGAAAGGCAGGGGCCUCGUUACGCCUACAGCUGGCCCCGCUGGCCCCGGGAUGGAGUUUGGGUCCUGGUGUGACCAGGCGUUAUUAAAGAGUUUUU
rnacentral:lncRNA from 1 species